GAUGAACGCUGGCGGCGUGCCUAAUACAUGCAAGUCGAGCGAACAGAUGAGGAGCUUGCUCCUCUGACGUUAGCGGCGGACGGGUGAGUAACACGUGGAUAACCUACCUAUAAGACUGGGAUAACUUCGGGAAACCGGAGCUAAUACCGGAUAAUAUAUUGAACCGCAUGGUUCAAUAGUGAAAGACGGUUUUGCUGUCACUUAUAGAUGGAUCCGCGCCGCAUUAGCGAGUUGGUAAGGUAACGGCUUACCAAGGCAACGAUGCGUAGCCGACCUGAGAGGGUGAUCGGCCACACUGGAACUGAGACACGGUCCAGACUCCUACGGGAGGCAGCAGUAGGGAAUCUUCCGCAAUGGGCGAAAGCUUGACGGAGCAACGCCGCGUGAGUGAUGAAGGUCUUCGGAUCGUAAAACUCUGUUAUUAGGGAAGAACAAAUGUGUAAGUAACUAUGCACGUCUUGACGGUACCUAAUCAGAAAGCCACGGCUAACUACGUG
rnacentral:rRNA from 1 species